rnacentral:misc_RNA from 1 species
CUGAGUGUUAAAACUCCCAACCCAUGUGAACAUACCUAUGUUGCUUCGGCGGCCUCGCCCCGGGUGCCUCACGGCGCCCCGGAUCCAGGCGACCGCCGGGGGACCUAAACUCUUGUUUUAUUCAGUUUCUUCUGAGUGGUUUAUACAAAUAAAUCA